rnacentral:rRNA from 1 species
UGAGUACGAGCUGCUACGGCAGCGAAGUGGGUGAGUCAAGCUUCCAAGAAAAGCCCUAUACCCGUUAAGGCAUGAUGGCCUGUACCCGAAACCGACACAGGUGGGGUGGUAGAGAAUACCGAGGGGCGCGAGAUAACUCUCUCUAAGGAACUCGGCAAAAUGGCCCCGUAACUUCGGGAGAAGGGGUGCCACCGCAAGGUGGUCGCAGUGAAGAGGCCCAGGCGACUGUUUACCAAAAACACAGGUCUCCGCUAAGUCGCAAGACGAUGUAUGGGGGCUGACGCCUGCCCAGUGCCGGAAGGUUAAGGAGGCUGGUCAGCGUAAGCGAAGCUAGCGACUGAAGCCCCGGUGAACGGCGGCCGUAACAAUAACGGUCCUAAGGUAGCGAAAUUCCUUGUCGGGUAAGUUCCGACCCGCACGAAAGGCGUAACGAUCUGGGCGCUGUCUCGGAGAGAGGCUCGGCGAAAUAGAAUUGUCUGUGAAGAUGCGGACUACGUGCACCCGGACAGAAAGACCCUAUGAAGCUUUACUGUAGCUUGGUAUUGUGCUCGGGCUCGGAAUGCGCAGGAUAGGUGGGAGGCUAUGAACCAUUGCUUGUGGGUGAUGGUGAGCCACUGGUGAGAUACCACUCUUUCCGAGCUAGAGUUCUAACAGCCACCCGUUAUCCGGGGGCUGGACAGUAUCAGGUGGGCAGUUUGACUGGGGCGGUCGCCUCCUAAAGGGUAACGGAGGCGCGCAAAGGUUUGCUCAGGCUGGUUGGAAAUCAGCCGACGAGUGUAAAAGCAGAAGCAAGCUUGACUGUGAGACCUACAAGUCGAACAGGGAGGAAACUCGGCUUUAGUGAUCCGACGGUUCUGCGUGGAAGGGCCGUCGCUCAACGGAUAAAAGUUACUCUAGGAUAACAGGCUGAUCUCCCCCAAGAGUUCACAUCGACGGGGAGGUUUGGCACCUCGAUGUCGGCUUAUCGCAACCUGGGGCUGAAGUCGGUCCCAAGGGUUGGGCUGUUCGCCCAUUAAAGCGGUACGCGAGCUGGGUUCAGAACGUCGUGAGACAGUUCGGUCCAUAUCCGGUGCAUGCGCAGGAAUAUUGAGAGGAUUUCUCCCUAGUACGAGAGGACCGGGAGGAACGCACCUCUGGUGUACCAGUUAUCGUGCCAACGGUAAACGCUGGGUAGCCAUGUGCGGAGUGGAUAACCGCUGAAAGCAUCUAAGUGGGAAGCCCACCUCAAGAUGAGUAUUCCCAUGGGGUAACCCAGUAAGGUCACGGGAAGAACACCCGUUGAUAGGCUCAACGUGGAAGCGCAGUAAUGUGUGAAGCGGAGGAGUACUAAUAGGCCGAGGGCUUGAU